rnacentral:rRNA from 1 species
CCCUUAGAUGUUCUGGGCCGCACACGCGCUACACUGAAGGAGGCAGCGUGUACUCCUGGAUCGAAAGAUUUGGGUAACCCGCGAAUCUCCUUCGUGCUAGGGAUUGAGGUUUGCAAUUAUCCUUCAUGAACGAGGAAUUCCCAGUAAGUGUAAGUCAUAAGCUUGCGCUGACUACGUCCCUGCCCUUUGUACACACCGCCCGUCGCUACUACCGAUUGAAUGAUUUAGUGAGGACUUCGGACUGGGACCGAUGCGGCUUUCGGGCUGCGUCGGUAUUCUGGAAAGAUGUCCAAACUGUAUCAUUUAGAGGAAGUAAAAGUCGUAACA